rnacentral:lncRNA from 1 species
UGAAAGAGAGGGACCGAGAUAGUUUGAAAUUUUUUUCGAAAAAGGUAGAGAUAUUAGUUUCCAGCAAAAUCAGAGAAAAAAGAUAAUUUUAAAAUUUUAAUUAGUUUUUAAUUUAAAUAAAUAUAAUUUUGGCUAAGCAAGUUAGCAGAAUCACUAUGUCAAAUGUAUUUAUACAAAAAUAGUGUUUUGUGAGGGCAUACACGUAAAUAUCAUUUUGAGAGGAUAUUCAUGUAAAUUCUAAUAUUUAGGAGGAUAUUUAUACAAAAAUUUAAAGAUUUUUUUUGCAUGUAUACCUUCUUAAAUAUGUAAAAUCGCAUGAUACCCUCAAAAAUUGUUAUUUGCAUGUAUAUGCCUCUAUAAACGUUUUUUUG